rnacentral:rRNA from 1 species
GACGAACGCUGGCGGCGUGCUUAACACAUGCAAGUCGAACGCUGAAGCACCAGCUUGCUGGUGUGGAUGAGUGGCGAACGGGUGAGUAAUACGUGAGUAACCUGCCCUUGACUCUGGGAUAAGCCCGGGAAACUGGGUCUAAUACUGGAUGCUACAUGUCACCGCAUGGUGGUGUGUGGAAAGGGUUUACUGGUCUUGGAUGGGCUCACGGCCUAUCAGCUUGUUGGUGAGGUAAUGGCUCACCAAGGCGACGACGGGUAGCCGGCCUGAGAGGGUGACCGGCCACACUGGGACUGAGACACGGCCCAGACUCCUACGGGAGGCAGCAGUGGGGAAUAUUGCACAAUGGGCGAAAGCCUGAUGCAGCGACGCCGCGUGAGGGAUGACGGCCUUCGGGUUGGAAACCUCUUUCAGCAGGGAAGAAGCCACAAGUGACAGUACCUGCAGAAGAAGCGCCGGCUAACUACGUG